rnacentral:rRNA from 1 species
GACGAACGCUGGCGGCGUGCUUAACACAUGCAAGUCGAACGGAAAGGCCCUGCUUUUGUGGGGUGCUCGAGUGGCGAACGGGUGAGUAACACGUGAGUAACCUGCCCUUGACUUUGGGAUAACUUCAGGAAACUGGGGCUAAUACCGGAUAGGAGCUCCUGCUGCAUGGUGGGGGUUGGAAAGUUUCGGCGGUUGGGGAUGGACUCGCGGCUUAUCAGCUUGUUGGUGGGGUAGUGGCUUACCAAGGCUUUGACGGGUAGCCGGCCUUGGAGGGUGACCGGCCACAUUGGGACUGCGAUACGGCCCAGACUCCUACGGUAGGCAGCAGGGGAGAAUCUUACACAAUGGGCGGAAGCCUGAUGCAGCAACGCCGCGUGCGGGAUGACGGCCUUCGGGUUGUAAACCGCUUUCGCCUGUGACGAAGCGUGAGUGACGGUAAUGGGUAAAGAAGCACCGGCUAACUACGUG